rnacentral:rRNA from 1 species
CCCUUAGAUGUUCUGGGCCGCACGCGCGCUACACUGAUGCAUUCAACGAGUCUAAAACCUGCUCUGAUAGGGGUGGGUAAUCUUUUGAAUGUGCAUCGUGAUUGGGAUAGAUGAUUGCAAUUUUUCAUCUUCAACGAGGAAUGCCUAGUAAACGCAAGUCAUCAGCUUGCAUUGAUUACGUCCCUGCCCUUCGUACACACCGCCCGCCGCUCCUACCGAUUGAAUGAUCCGAUGAAUAUCAUGGAUUGAGGAUGCAAGUAGGUUAGCCUAUCUUCAUCUUCGAGAAGUGAAGUAAAUCUUAUCAUUUAGAGGAAGGAGAAGUCGUAACA